UAAUACGGAGGAUGCAAGCGUUAUCCGGAUUCACUGGGUUUAAAGGGUGCGCAGGCGGACAUUUAAGUCAGGGGUGAAAUCCUACAGCUUAACUGUAGAACUGCCCUUGAUACUGAAUGCCUAGAGUAAAGUUGAAGUGGGCGGAAUGUGUUGUGUAGCGGUGAAAUGCUUAGAUAUGACACAGAACACCGAUCGCGAAGGCAGCUAGCUAAGCUAUAACUGACGCUCAUGCACGAAAGCGUGGGGAUCAAACAGGAUUAGAUACCCUGGUAGUCCACGCUGUGAACGAUGAUUACUCGAUGUUGGCGAUACACAGUCAGCGUCUGAGCGAAAGCAAUAAGUAAUCCACCUGGGGAGUACGAUCGCAAGAUUGAAACUCAAAGGAAUUGACGGGGGCCCGCACAAGCGGAGGAGCAUGUGGUUUAAUUCGAUGAUACGCGAGGAACCUUACCUGGGCUCGAACGUAAGAUGACUGUAGGUGAAAGCUUACAUCUCUUCGGAGCAUUUUACGAGGUGCUGCAUGGUUGUCGUCAGCUCGUGCCGUGAGGUGUCGGGUUAAGUCCCAUAACGAGCGCAACCCCUACCUUUAGUUGCCAUCAGGUCAUGCUGGGGACUCUAAAGGAACUGCCUACGCAAGUAGUGAGGAAGGCGGGGAUGACGUCAAAUCAGCACGGCCCUUACGUCCAGGGCUACACACGUGCUACAAUGGCCGAUACAGAGGGCAGCUACCUGGUGACAGGAUGCAAAUCUCCAAAGUCGGUCUCAGUUCGGAUCGGAGUCUGCAACCCGACUCCGUGAAGUUGGAUUCGCUAGUAAUCGCGCAUCAGCCAUGGCGCGGUGAAUACGUUCCCGGGCCUUGUACACACCGCCCGUCAAGCCAUGGAAGCUGGGGGGACCUAAAGUCGAUAACCGCAAGGAGUCGCCUAGGGUAAAACCAGUGACUGGGGCU
rnacentral:rRNA from 1 species